UGGGGAAUAUUGCACAAUGGGCGAAAGCCUGAUGCAGCGACGCCGCGUGAGGGAUGACGGCCUUCGGGUUGUAAACCUCUUUCAGCAGGGACGAAGCGCAAGUGACGGUACCUGCAGAAGAAGCACCGGCUAACUACGUGCCAGCAGCCGCGGUAAUACGUAGGGUGCAAGCGUUGUCCGGAAUUACUGGGCGUAAAGAGUUCGUAGGCGGUUUGUCGCGUCGUUUGUGAAAACCAGCAGCUCAACUGCUGGCUUGCAGGCGAUACGGGCAGACUUGAGUACUGCAAGGGAGACUGGAAUUCCUGGUGUAUCGGUGAAAUGCGCAGAUAUCAGGAGGAACACCGGUGGCGAAGGCGGGUCUCUGGGCAGUAACUGACGCUGAGGAACGAAAGCGUGGGUAGCGAACAGG
rnacentral:rRNA from 1 species